UCCAAUCUUCGGGGCAGGGUGCAAUUCCCGACCGGCGGUAAAGUCCGCGAGCUGCAUACAUAUUGUGGUUGAUCUGGUUAAAUUCCAGUACCGACAGUUAUAGUCUGGAUGGGAGAAGAUGUCG
rnacentral:ncRNA from 2 species